AGAUGCGAUCAUACCAGCACUAAAGCACCGGAUCCCAUCAGAACUCCGAAGUUAAGCGUGCUUGGGCGAGAGUAGUACUAGGAUGGGUCACCUCCUGGGAAGUCCUCGUGUUGCAUGCC
rnacentral:rRNA from 1 species